CAGUCGCCGCGGUAAAACGGAGGGGGCUAGCGUUGUUCGGAAUUACUGGGCGUAAAGCGCACGUAGGCGGCUUGGUAAGUUAGAGGUGAAAGCCCGGAGCUCAACUCCGGAAUUGCCUUUAAGACUGCCGAGCUAGCAGGUGAGAGAGGUAAGUGGAAUUCCGAGUGUAGAGGUGAAAUUCGUAGAUAUUCGGAAGAACACCAGUGGCGAAGGCGGCUUACUGGCUCAUACUGGACGCUGAGGUGCGAAAGCGUGGGGAGCAAACAGGAUUAGAUACCCCAGUAGUCCCUGUCUCUUAUAC
rnacentral:rRNA from 1 species